rnacentral:lncRNA from 1 species
GGGCAGGAAAUCCCUUCACCCACCACACUGUGGUCCCUGUAGUAGGCACAACUAAAGUAUCACGGAAAUUAAGAAGGGAAUAAGGAAGCUUUUCCAGGAUGUGCUGCCAUAACUUCCUAUAACUCCAUCUCUGCUUUACUUCGGAAUACCAUGAGAAUCAGCAAUUUCUAAAAACUGCUUUCUAAACGCUCAGGAUCCCAAUAGGAAUUUGCUCUUCCCACCAAAAUAAGCUUCUGAUGCCCUCCUAUCACCAGAGAACACAGAGAACAGACCCCGCUGAGAAAUGUCUCCAUCAGAGAGCUGAAACACACACACAGAAUUCUAACAAGGUUGGGAAGCCAGAAAGCUGCAGCCGCCACAGACAUUACUAUUAGCAAAUUUAGCGAGCAUUCAUUAUUUGGCAGAACACAUUAAAAAGAAGAAAAUCCUCCCAAGACAUCACUGAUAAAGCCUCCUUAAAUAAAGACUGUAGUUAGAGCAAUUGAAAAGUCAAAAAGAAAGGACCUCCUGGAGUUACAAGGAAGGGCCUCAAAGCAAGAGGCUGACAUUCCAGGAGAGACAGAGAAACAUGGAACAUGCCAGAACAUAA